GGCCGGUUAGCUCAGCUGGUUAGAGCGUCGCACCAGGGGCGUGGGUUCAAUCCCCGUAAUGGCCA
rfam:Danio rerio chromosome 4, GRCz11 reference primary assembly.